ensembl:lncRNA
CUCAAGGCGCAGCAUUUCCUCAUGUUGGUGCGAGUUCAUAACCUUUUGAUCCUUUGAUGUCCGACUGAGGGGAGAGGAGGAGGAGAGGUGGAGAAGAUGAGGCAGGAGGAGGAGAAUCCAAUCUGUCUAACCUCAUUAGACAUGUAUUUUCUCCCCAGCUUCUGACAACUCUGCUUUUGACUGAACCAUGUUCAUUAUCUGGACCCCGUCCUGCCUCAUGUGAACAGCCCUUGAAACAGGAAGUGAGACGGAUUGGUGAGAAAUCAUCCUCCUCUGAGCAUCUUGCUCAUCCCCAGGCCUUGAGUGAGAUUGCCUGCAAGACUGCACUAAUCUAAGAAAGUUGGAGUUUGACACGCAAGACUCAGCUACACCGGUUUACACAGUGUAUUCUCUGACACAACACUGAAUAUGAGAAGCAGCAAACUACAAAGUCUACCCAACAAUGACUAGUCUUUUCAGCAUCAAUCAAACUGUCGCUUGCUAAAAACUAGGCAUGGUUUAUCAGAAAGUCUAAGUAUUCAUAGUUGUUGUAAACAACAAUUUGAGGUGGUUCUAAUAAAACAUCAUUUC